GAAUCCCUGCUGUGUUUGUGAUGCGAUCUGAAGUUUUGAGCCAACACUUGAUUUAAGAGGAACCGUACUCUGGUAGAGGGGAUGCAAUCGCCUGCGGGCCUGCAGAACUGAAAGGGCGGUUCCCACCUGCGAAUGCAGGUUCAAAACCUGAGAGCACACGGCACAGCGGGGCUUUG
rnacentral:other from 1 species